ACCUGGCUGGCUCAGUCAGAAGAGCAUGCGACUCUUGAUCUCAGUGUCGUAGGUUCAAGCCCCACGCUGGGUG
rnacentral:tRNA from 1 species